ensembl:snRNA U2 U2 spliceosomal RNA
AUCGCUUCUUGGCCUUUUGGCUAAGAUCAAGUGUAGUAUCUGUUCUUAUCAGUUUAAUAUCCGAUACGUCCUCCAUCCAAGGGGGGAAAAGACUAUCAGUGCAAUGAUUGAAAAACUUACAAAGAACGAAUCUUU